GGGUGUAGCUCAGCGGUAGAGCGCAUGCUUAGCAUGCAUGAGGUCCUGGGUUCAAUCCCCAGUGCCUCCA
rnacentral:tRNA from 1 species